GAUGAAGAACGCAGCGAAAAGCGAUAAGUAAUGUGAAUUGCAGAAUUCAGUGAAUCAUCGAAUCUUUGAACGCACAUUGCGCCCGCCAGUAUUCUGGCGGGCAUGCCUGUUCGAGCGUCAUUACAACCCUCAGGCCCCCGGGCCUGGCGUUGGGGAUCGGCGGAAGCCCCCUGUGGGCACACGCCGUCCCUCAAAUACAGUGGCGGUCCCGCCGCAGCUUCCAUUGCGUAGUAGCUAACACCUCGCAACUGGAGAGCGGCGCGGCCAUGCCGUAAAACACCCAACUUCUGAAUGUUGACCUCGAAUCAGGUAGGAAUACCCGCUGAACUUAAGCAUAUCAAUAAGCGGAGGA
rnacentral:misc_RNA from 1 species